rnacentral:rRNA from 1 species
AAAGGCCAAUCAAACCGGGAGAUAGCUGGUUCUCCCCGAAAGCUAUUUAGGUAGCGCCUUGAGUGGACAUCUUCGGGGGUAGAGCACUGUUUCGGCUAGGGGUCCAUCCCGGAUUACCAACCCGAUGCAAACUACGAAUACCGAAGAGUGAUACUCAGGAGACACACGGCGGGUGCUAACGUCCGUCGUGGAGAGGGAAACAACCCAGACCGCCAGCUAAGGUCCCAAAGUCUAUAUUAAGUGGGAAACGAAGUGGGAAGGCUUAGACAGCCAGGAUGUUGGCUUAGAAGCAGCCAUCAUUUAAAGAAAGCGUAAUAGCUCACUAGUCGAGUCGGCCUGCGCGGAAGAUGUAACGGGGCUCAAAUAUAGCACCGAAGCUGCGGCAUCAGACGAAAGUCUGUUGGGUAGGGGAGCGUUCUGUAAGCGGAUGAAGGUGGUUCGAGAGGGCUGCUGGACGUAUCAGAAGUGCGAAUGCUGACAUAAGUAACGAUAAAACGGGUGAAAAACCCGUUCGCCGGAAGACCAAGGGUUCCUGUCCAACGUUAAUCGGGGCAGGGUGAGUCGGCCCCUAAGGCGAGGCUGAAAAGCGUAGUCGAUGGGAAACGGGUUAAUAUUCCCGUACUUGGAUAAACUGCGAUGUGGGGACGGAGCAGGUUAGGUUAUCGCACUGUUGGAUAUGUGCGUUUAAGUUUGUAGGUGUGAAGUUUAGGCAAAUCCGGACUUCUUUAACACUGAGAGAUGAUGACGAGGCUCUACGGAGCUGAAGUAACCGAUACCACACUUCCAGGAAAAGCCACUAAGCUUCAGGUUUAUCUAAACCGUACUGAAAACCGACACAGGUGGUCAGGUAGAGAAUACUCAGGCGCUUGAGAGAACUCGGGUGAAGGAACUAGGCAAAAUAGCACCGUAACUUCGGGAGAAGGUGCGCCGGCGUAGAUUGUAGUCCCUUGCGGGCGAAGGUUGAACCGGUCGAAGAUACCAGCUGGCUGCAACUGUUUAUUAAAAACACAGCACUCUGCAAACACGAAAGUGGACGUAUACGGUGUGACGCCUGCCCGGUGCUGGAAGGUUAAUUGAUGGUGUAAUCGAAAGAGAAGCUCCUGAUCGAAGCCCCAGUAAACGGCGGCCGUAACUAUAACGGUCCUAAGGUAGCGAAAUUCCUUGUCGGGUAAGUUCCGACCUGCACGAAUGGCAUAAUGAUGGCCAGGCUGUCUCCACCCGAGACUCAGUGAAAUUGAAAUCGCCGUGAAGAUGCGGUGUACCCGCGGCUAGACGGAAAGACCCCGUGAACCUUUACUAUAGCUUGACACUGAACAUUGAAUUUUGAUGUGUAGGAUAGGUGGGAGACUUUGAAGAUGAUACGCCAGUAUUGUUGGAGUCGUCCUUGAAAUACCACCCUUUAACGUUUGAUGUUCUAAC